UGCUGGGAGCAGCCGGCAGUCAUCUGAACAGGCAAUCCGCUGCCCAGCAACGACAGGGAGAUUGCGGGGGAGAUCAUGGAAAUUUCAGGCCCAGGGACAAUAGAGACAAUAGAGUACAGUGGCAUACCAUCACAUAACUGUCAUGGGCCAGAACAAUAAUCCUUCAGCACAACCUUCUGGAAAUGACUGUCCAGAAGCAGAAGAAGAUGAUUGUGGUAUGGGUAGUGAUGGGAGGGAAAGUCAUUUCCAGAUGAUGCCAAAAGGAGAGAGAGUGUCCUUUCUACCUGUCUCCAUGUGUCACACAUUCCUACUCAUCACUGCAGUAUUUGAUCUUUUGCUCCUCCAUCUGCUGCCCCCACAGGCCUUGAUCCUAAAAUGUUGGCAAGACUAUUGGAUGCUUCUCCUCUGCAGCGAUCCGUUGCUAAGAAUGGCAAUGUACCUUUUGUUAGCUCUAACCAUUUACUC